GACGAACGCUGGCGGCGUGCUUAACACAUGCAAGUCGAGCGGAAAGGCUCCUUCGGGGGUACUCGAGCGGCGAACGGGUGAGUAACACGUGAGCAAUCUGCCCUCCACUUCGGGAUAGCCACCGGAGACGGUGAUUAAUACCGGAUAUGACCGCUUCUCGCAUGGGAUGGUGGUGGAAAGUUUUUCGGUGGGGGAUGUGCUCGCGGCCUAUCAGCUUGUUGGUGGGGUAAUGGCCUACCAAGGCUUCGACGGGUAGCCGGCCUGAGAGGGUAACCGGUCACACUGGGACUGAGACACGGCCCAGACUCCUACGGGAGGCAGCAGUGGGGAAUAUUGGACAAUGGGCGGAAGCCUGAUCCAGCAACGCCGCGUGAGGGAUGACUGCCUUCGGGUUGUAAACCUCUUUCACCUAUGACGAAGCGAAAGUGACGGUAGUAGGAGAAGAAGCACCGGCCAACUACGUGCCAGCAGCCGCGGUAAAAC
rnacentral:rRNA from 1 species